AUAUCAAUAAGCGGAGGAAAAGAAACCAACAGGGAUUGCCUCAGUAACGGCGAGUGAAGCGGCAAAAGCUCAAAUUUGAAAUCUGGCCUUCCGGUCCGAGUUGUAAUUUGCAGAGGAUGCUCCGAGUUCAGAUCCGGCCUAAGUUCCUUGGAAUAGGACGUCAUAGGGGGUGAGAAUCCCGUAUGUGGCCGAAAUCUUUUCUCAUGUGGAGCUCCUUCAACGAGUCGAGUUGUUUGGGAAUGCAGCUCAAAAUGGGUGGUAAAUUUCAUCUAAAGCUAAAUACUGGCCAGAGACCGAUAGCGCACAAGUAGAGUGAUCGAAAGAUGAAAAGCACUUUGGAAAGAGAGUUAAACAGUACGUGAAAUUGUUGAAAGGGAAGCGCUUGUAAUCAGACUUGCGCGUGGUCAAUCAUCUGGCGUUCUCGCCGGUGCACUUGAUCACGCUCAGGCCAGCAUCGGUUUUGGUGGUCAGACAAAGUCUCUGGGAAUGUAGCUCCUCUCGGGGAGUGUUAUAGAUCAGAGAGCAAUGUGGCCUACCAGGACCGAGGACCGCGCUUCGGCUAGGAUGCUGGCAUAAUGGUUAUAAGCGA
rnacentral:rRNA from 1 species